GGCAGAGUGAACAAAAAAAACAAGUCACCUUCCGACGACGAUUUGGUCUUCGGUGCAGUGGUGAUGGUGGUCUGCUUCCCCUACUUCGGCGAUUGGUUCGCUUGUCGGCCGCCCUUCUUCUUCUUCUCUCAUGGUCUCGGUGACUAGGGUUUUGGAAAGCCGGGUAACGAGGUUUAAAUACCUCAUCGACUUCAAUCUUGACCGUUCACGUACGGGUG
rnacentral:lncRNA from 1 species